AUUCGUAUCUAUACUGUACCGAGAACUAUAUAGCAGUUGACUAAUACACAGCUCUUUAGCAAGACAGUCAUCACUGUUGAAACUUAAUGAGUUUUAAUUGGAUGUAAUUGAAAAUUUUAGUCAUCUCGCAACUGUGACUGACCGAAUAAAGGCAUAGAUGCACUCUGUUUAACUGGAUUACACAACAAAUGAUGCUAAUCCUUUGCAACGUGUUUGCUGUCAUAGAAACAGAAUCCAGAACGAAACGUUCUAACAUUGUAACAAUAAGCCCCGUUGUUCAAUAAUAAAGAUUAUAUGUAUGCAGCACUUGCGAACAACAGUUUUUCUUAUAAUGAGUUCCGUGUAAGAUCGACAUUUUCCGGUGACGUAAGAUUCUUGUAUCGCAAUUGUUAUUAUUUUCAAGCUUCCCAUAGUUUAUCAUUUUUUUCUCUUUUCGUGUGAAUUAUUUUAUGCUUGUUAUUUCGACAAGGAAUUUAAUAAAUUUUCUUAAUAAUAUCGUGAGUCAAAAAUUUCAUAUAUCGUGUUACGUGAAUCAUGCAGAUAAAUACUAAAAGUACUAAAAAUAAUAAUGCUUUUGAGAUACGAAGGAAUAUUCGAGACAUUUGAUCUGUCCAUCAUUGUACGCGCAAGCAUUCGUCAACUUUUCAUCAUUCAGUGACCAUAUUCGACCUUCCACUUGAGGAAUUUUAUACUCCCACGUUUGAACUUUCAUCACUGUUGCAAAUUUACUUAUAAUUAUCGCUUUAUCUGCUACUGUAUAACUAAACAAAUUUUACUAUGGCUUUAUUUUUCAAUAUUAGUUGCUCAAAUGAUUCUUUUCCUUCUUCUUGUCUCUAUUUAAGUAGUAUAUCUACGUUCAAAAGUUCCAUCGUAAACUUCUAGAAAACACGGUAUUUUUUGAAAUGCAAUAAUAAGAUAAGAUACGCAAUUUUCAAUGAGUCCGAAAUUGUACUAAGUGCUCUGGAGGCGUUUAUGAAAACUAUCGCUGUCAUUUCAAUAAAACAAUUACGUAAUAUAAGAUUAUGAACGCCUUUAACUAGUUGAAGCGAUAAAAAUUUUCAAUUACAAUUCAACCCAAUCUCGUUGACUUGUUCGCAUCGCUUUUUGAAAAAUCUGAAAAUACCAUUUUUGUCAAUUUUAAACGAUCUAAGAAACGAGAAUUAAUGGAAAUUCGAAGAAAAAUAUAGGAAUAAAGAUAUUUUGGUAAUCCUUCGUCGAAAUUUUAUACGAAUUAUUUAUAAUAUUCGAACCAAUAUUUCACAAUUCGGUACUAUUCUUUCACAAGAUUGCCAUCAGUGGUUGACGGAAACUGAGAUAAUCCUGAAUAUAUUCUACAUUUCUGAAAAUAGAUUAUCUGCGUAUACAACAGUAUUUCUCAACAAGGAGUUCUUCCUAAUUUUACACGUCUGACACAUUCAAUAAGAUGUAUAGUUACUACCGGCGUAUGAGUUUACGUUGGCACAGGCUAUCCAGAAGUUAAGGUCCUCGGCAAGAUCGGGUUAUUUGAUGCGCCGACAGGUAUGUUUGUGAAUUCAUGAAAGCAACCGGACCGUUAGCCAAGAAAGGAUUUAAGGCAUUCAUUGAUCUAAUGACUACUGCACAAUGACUUGCUGUUGCUUCAACAGACACUAUUGCUGGUUCUAAGAAAAAGUGCAGGGAGCAUUUAUACAAGUAUUAUUUAGGAAGACAGUACUUUCUAGUAACAUUUAUAUUUGAUAACUAUAAUGAAAUUAAAGGAGAUUAUUGCAUAAAUAAAUAAAAUUGUAAGAAAUUGUGCCCAAUAAAAUUAUUAAGAA